GGCGAAGAUGAACGUUGCUUAUAACUUUAUUUCUGACACCUCUUGUAUGAGAAGAUCCUCCUAGGGUUCUUCUUUGAGCACAGAAAGCAACUCUCUGAGCC